UGAUACCCAGCCCCCCCCCCCUCUGCGUAAAAUAAAUAAAUAAAUAAAGGCACGCAGAGCCACAGAGCGUGUCGUGGUGCGUCGCUUUUGGACUCGAGUCACAUUAUUAAAAUGAUCGCUCCCAGAGUCUACAGUUGAGUCGAUACUAGAACACCGCAACCCAGAAGCCCGUAACCGUGCCACGGCAAAGAUUAGUAUAGUCUAUAGGCGACUGUCCUCUCUGGGCCUAUUUGUCUAGGCUGAAUAAACGUUCAAAUGAGAAGGACCGAUUCACAUAUAUAAAUGAAUUKUCAACUAGACUGGGCUAUAUGCAGCAGAGAGUGAAUAAGGCGCGGAUUGCUAGAAAUAGGCUGAAUGCCGGCGUUUACCGGGGUUGUCGAUAUCUCAACGGCCGGUUGCGCGCUGCCUUAUAUCCUGUUUCUUGACUGCUGACGUGACACCUGGAGACUGUCGUUCUUUCCGUGAUUGACCAGAGAAAGGCUCGAGGGCUGUGUAGUCAGGACGGACUGGGCUGGCCCAGUGGAAAAGGUUUUCCUGUUGUCUUGGCAGAAGGCGGACCGGUGUUGAACGUUCCUGGGAGUGUGUGUAUCCCGCGAAAGGAAGGUGGAAGGAAAAGCUCCGCCGAAAGAAAGCAUUCAGCUGGCUAAACAGCGAACCGUCCAGGCAAAAACACUCCAACUGGAUUUCCUGUCUGAACAGAGACGGAGACACUCAUCACCGCCGAGAGAGCUGGACCAAAACGAAAUUAUUUUCUGACCUAAUGAAUAACUAGUCUUUUCUCCUGCUAAAGUCCUAACUUUGUUAAGAGUUCCAGUCCUUUACUGGCUUUGCUGCUAACCUUCUACCCAGCUAACCAUGGCCCACGUCGGGAACGGACCUGGGAAUAACGCCGAUGAUGAGGAUUGUUUUGAAGAUGGCUAGACCGGAUACCGUG